GAAAAUUAAUUAAAUUCUUUUAUUAUACUUAGGUGGAAAUCAAAACAGGAAAUAUAUUUUCAAAUGCUACACCACCUUGGUUGUGGGAAGAAAAGAAAAUUGAAAGGUUGAAUAAGUUUGGUCAUACUUCACAGUUUGUGAUAGGUCCAACAGAACAUGAUUUACUAAAUCACUUGGCCAAAGAAAAAAAGAAGCAUCUUAAUCCUAAUAGAGUUGGAGUAAAUUUUGAUCAUAAUGCUAAAACUUCAGCCAGUUGGUUACCUUCAUUUGGACGUGUAUGGAAUAAUAGCCGAAGAUUGCAAUCAAGAUAUCAAUAUAGAAAAGAAGUAUUAAAUAGAGUGAAAAGACGUUAUCAGAAAAAAAGACAUCUCGAUAAAGUAAAAUAAAAACUAUUUCAUGUCACAAAUUUAGAAUCUAAACUGUUUAUAUCAUAUUGAUAUAAACAAUUACUUUAUAAAAAAUUACAUAAUAUGAAUUACUUUAUAAAAAAAAGAUGAAAAUAAAAACAAGUUUACAAAAAUACCAAUUUAUUGGUUGAUCUGUUUACCAAACAAAUUAACACAUUUUAAAAUGACAAUAUAAAUACAUUCAAUAUCAUAAUUAUCACAAUUCUAAUCAAAUUAGACAUAUUUCAAAGUGGUAUUUAUCAAAUUUAGACACAUUUGUCAAAGUGUAGAACAAAAUGUUUUCUCAAAGUACCAAAUACAUAUUCAAUCAUUAUAUAUAUAUAUAGGCUAUACAUUAUCACAUGUUAAUUUUAGUUAUGAAAACUUAUUUCAGAAUUUCUACAAAAACUUAAAUUGUUUCUUUGAUGCUAAAAUAAUAAUAAAUUUUCAUAACAGAAAUAUUUCUUUAUUCAUAUAACACCAAAUAUUGAUUUCAGUCUUCUCACUAUGACUGUACCUGACAACAAUUAGUGUGCUAUUAACAUUUUACAAGACAUUUUUACAAUCAAUUUUUUUUUUGUUUUUUAAUCAACAGUUCCAAUAAUUUUUUUUAUUCUAAAACAACAAUAUAGUGCAAAUUAUUUUUUAACACUGUAUUACUAUUAUUUAUUAAUCUGUACACUAACACCACUAAAUUAACAAACACUUUUUAAACUUCCAUAUAUUUUUGAUGAUUUUCACUCUGCAUUUGUGGUGGAAAUUUGCAUGGUACUAUUCAAUAUAACUGCAUAAUUUUUAUUUCUAAUAUAAUAAUAAAAUGAAAUGAAUU